AAUGUCAUUGCUGGAUCGUGUGGUAAGAGUUUGUUUAGUUUUGUAAGAAACUGUCAAAUUGUUUUCUGAAAGUGGCUGUACCAUUUGCAUUUUCACUAUCAGA
rnacentral:pre_miRNA from 1 species